rnacentral:rRNA from 1 species
CCUACGGGAGGCAGCAGUGAGGAAUAUUGGCCAAUGGACGAGAGUCUGAACCAGCCAAGUAGCGUGAAGGAUGACUGCCCUAUGGGUUGUAAACUUCUUUUAUCAGGGAAUAAAACGAGGCACGUGUGCCUUUUCGCAAGUACUUUAUGAAUAAGGAUCGGCUAACUCCGUGCCAGCAGCCGCGGUAAUACGGAGGAUCCGAGCGUUAUCCGGAUUUAUUGGGUUUAAAGGGAGCGUAGAUGGGUUGUUAAGUCAGUUGUGAAAGUUUGCGGCUCAACCGUAAAAUUGCAAUUGAUACUGGCAGUCUUGAGUACGGUUGAGGUAAGCGGAAUGCGUGGUGUAGCGGUGAAAUGCAGAGAUAUCACGAAGAACCCCGAGUGCGAAGGCAGCUUACUAAACUGUAACUGACAUUGAUGCUCGAAAGUGUGGGUAUCGAACAGGAUUAGAUACCCGAGUAGUC